rnacentral:rRNA from 1 species
GAUGAACGCUUUCUUCUUUCCUAAUACAUUCAAGUCGAGCGAACAGACGAGGAGCUUGCUCCUCUGACGUUAGCGGCGGACGGGUGAGUAACACGUGGAUAACCUACCUAUAAGACUGGGAUAACUUCGGGAAACCGGAGCUAAUACCGGAUAAUAUAUUGAACCGCAUGGUUCAAUAGUGAAAGACGGUUUUGCUGUCACUUAUAGAUGGAUCCGCGCCGCAUUAGCUAGUUGGUAAGGUAACGGCUUACCAAGGCAACGAUGCGUAGCCGACCUGAGAGGGUGAUAGGCCACACUGGAACUGAGACACGGUCCAGACUCCUACGGGAGGCAGCAGUAGGGAAUCUUCCGCAAUGGGCGAAAGCCUGACGGAGCAACGCCGCGUGAGUGAUGAAGGUCUUCGGAUCGUAAAAAUAGGGGAUUAGGGAAGAACAAAUGUGUAAGUAACUAUGCACGUCUUGACGGUACCUAAUCAGAAAGCCAAGGCUAACUACGGG